AUCUCACCAGCCCCUCUUUCCUUUCCUUUCCUUUUCCUUUUUCUUCUUUUUUGCUUUUCUUUCUAUUUUUUUUAGACAGGGUUUCUCUGUGUAGCUCUGGCUGUCUUAGAACCCACUUUGUAGACUAGGCUGGCCUCAAACUUACAGAGAUCUGUAUGCCAUCAGGUUCAGCUCUUUUAUGUUGCUGAGCAGUGGUGGUGCACGCCUUUAAUCCCAGCACUUGGGAGGCAGAGGCAGGUGGAUUUCUGAGUUCCAGACUAGCCCGGUCUACAGCUAGGACAGCCAGGGCUACACAGAGAAACUCCGUCUCGGAAGAAAAAAAAAAAAGACAUGUUAUAGCCGGGUGUGGUGGCAGGCACCUGUAGUUCCAGCACCCAGGAAGGAGAGACGGGCUUAUCUCUGAGUUUGAAGGGGGACAGCCCAGGGCGACACAGAGAAAUCUUGUUUCAACAAACAACAAAGACUUAUUGUAUGAUUUUAUUUGUGUGUGUCUGUGCUGUGCAUGUGUGUGCAGAGUGCGCAGGUGUUCACAGAGGCCAGAAGGAGGCGCAAAUUCCCCGGAGCUGGAGUUAGUGGUAUUUGUGAGCCAUCUGUUGUAGAUGCUACACACUCCAAACCCUGGCCCUCUGACACAGCAGCGGUGAAUGCCCUUAACCGCUGAGCUGUCUCUCUGCUCUUCUGUUACCCCUUCCUUCAUAUCACCUUCUCUUCCAUCUUUCCUAAUGUUUCUAUUUAUUUAAUUAUUCUUGUGUGUGCACAUAUCUGCCGUGGCACACACAUGAAGGUCAGAGGACAACGAUGUGGAGUCUGUUCUCUCCAUUUUGCCUUCACAUGGGCUCCAGGGUUCGAACUCAGCUUGCCAAAGCCUCUCCAGGCACGAGCCUUUAUCUGAUGGGCCAUCUCUCCAACCCACGUUGGAUGUUUUGAAAUGUGUCUCCUGUAGUCCAGGCUAGACUUCAACUCGCUAAGGUAGCCAAAGAUGAGCUUGAAUGUCUAAUCCCCCUGCCUCUGCCUCCUGAGGGCUGUGUUCUGCCAUGGUGGGUUGAUGUGACACUGGAAUGGAGCUCAGAGCUUCAUGCGUGCUAGGUAAGGAUGCUACCCACUGAGCCACAACCUAGUCCCAUCUCUUCACUGCAGAUAUUAAAGCAUAGUAUACAAAGUUGAAGAAACUUAAGGUGGGUGUGGCAGUGCACACCUGGGUCCCCAGCACCCUUGAGGCAGGUCAGGAGCUAGAGAGAUGGUGGCUCUGUGGUUAAGAGUACUGCCUGCUCUUCCAGAGGACCUGGGUUUGAUUCUCAACACCCACACGGAGGAGGCUCACAACCACAAAUAAACAGUUGAAAAAAAUACAAAAAACAAAACAAAACAAAUCCAGGGACCUCUGGCCUAUCCCUGCUUAUCCCCAGGUUCCAUGGUCACUGCUCCUUAUAUCAGCAUGUAUCUCCGUAGUCAUAACAAUGCCUUCUGCCCCAGCCUCCCGGAUGCGCGUAGGAUUGAACGAGACAAUAGACCAAAAGGUAUUUUGUAAACACUGCAGCCCUGUAGAGAGAGACUUUAUUUUUAAAAACAAUAGCGUAACAACUAAGGCUACAAGCCCUUUGACAAGCAUUGUUUGAUUACUAAGCUUAUCACUGGGAAUUACUGAAAUUGAUCACCUUUACAACGCAAUGCUCUGUAUCAACGCCCUACCCUGGCCUGGCCCCCAAGGCCUGUGGUGUGGAAUGUGUAGGGCCAGGCUGCACAAAUCUGGUCACCAGUAGGUGUCAGCCUCCACCAGGACACAUCCACUGGUCUAUAUACUUGUCAAAGAAUGGCAGCUUUCUCCCUUUUCCAUAAAACUUUCUUUUAUGUGUGGUACUGAGGCUUUCACACCUGCUAGGAAAGCACUGUCACUGAGCCACGCCCCCAGCCCCUCACUGGAGGAUUCUAGGCAGGUGCUCCACCACUGAGCCACGCCCCCAGGCCCUCCCUGGGGGAUUCUAGGCAGGGGCUCUACCGCUGAGCCACGCCCCCAGCCCCUUACUGGAGGAUUCUAGGCAGGGCUCUACUGCUGAGUCAUGCCCCCAGCCCUCUUUAUAUUUUGUUUGUUUGUUUAGGUUUUUUUGGUUUUUACUUUGAGGUAAGGGUCUCACUUAAAUUGCCAAAGAUGAGAAGUAUGGUAAAGUGGGAGGGGUGAGAGACUGGGAGAAGGUAGACUACAAAGGUGGGAGGGGAGGCCAAAGCAUUAAAGGUCUUGAUU
rnacentral:lncRNA from 1 species